GACGGAGGGUGCUAGCGUUGUUCGGAAUCACUGGGCGUAAAGGGCGCGUAGGCGGCCGCCCGCGUCGGACGUGAAAGCCCGAGGCUCAACCUCGGAACUGCCUUCGAUACUGCGGGUCUCGAGUCCGGGAGAGGUGAGUGGAAUUCUAGUGUAGAGGUGAAAUUCGUAGAUAUUAGGAAGAACACCAGUGGCGAAGGCGGCU
rnacentral:rRNA from 1 species